CCUACGGGAGGCAGCAGUGGGGAAUAUUGCACAAUGGGGGAAACCCUGAUGCAGCGACGCCGCGUGAGUGAAGAAGUAUUUCGGUAUGUAAAGCUCUAUCAGCAGGGAAGAAGAAAGACGGUACCUGAGUAAGAAGCCCCGGCGAACUACGUGCCAGCAGCCGCGGUAAUACGUAGGGGGCAAGCGUGAUCCGGAUUGACUGGGUGUAAAGGGAGCGUAGACGGCAGUGCAAGUCUGGAGUGAAAGGCGGGGGCUCAACCCCCGUACUGCUCUGGAAACUGUACGGCUGGAGUGCAGGAGAGGUAAGUGGAAUUCCUGGUGUAGCGGUGAAAUGCGUAGAUAUUAGGAGGAACACCAGUGGCGAAGGCGGCUUACUGGACUGUAACUGACGUUGAGGCUCGAAAGCGUGGGGAGCAAACAGGAUUAGAUACCCUGGUAGUC
rnacentral:rRNA from 1 species